UACGGGGGGAGCAAGCGUUGUUCGGAUUUACUGGGCGUAAAGGGCGCGUAGGCGGUCGUGACAAGUCACUUGUGAAAUCUCCGGGCUUAACUCGGAACGGUCAAGUGAUACUGUCGGACUAGAGUACAGAAGGGGCAACUGGAAUUCUCGGUGUAGCGGUGAAAUGCGUAGAUAUCGAGAGGAACACCUGGCGGCGAAGGCGGGUUGCUGGGCUGAUACUGACGCUGAGGCGCGAAAGCCAGGGGAGCGAACGGG
rnacentral:rRNA from 1 species